rnacentral:rRNA from 1 species
CAGCAGCCGCGGGAAUAUGUAGGUGGCAAGCGUUGUCCGGAAUUAUUGGGCGUAAAGCGCGCGCAGGUGGUUUAAUAAGUCUGGUGUGAAAGCCCACGGCUCAACCGUGGAGGGUCAUUGGAAACUGUUAAACUUGAGUGCAGGGGAGAAAAGUGGAAUUCCUAGUGUAGCGGUGAAAUGCGUAGAGAUUAGGAGGAACACCAGUGGCGAAGGCGGCUUUUUGGCCUGUAACUGACACUGAGGCGCGAAAGCGUGGGGAGCAAACAGGAUUAGAUACCCCUGUAGUCCCUGUCUCUUAUAA